rnacentral:lncRNA from 1 species
ACUAUUAUCACCAACCAGGUGAUCAAAAGUACGCCCAGUACUCCAAAUUUAUUCGGCACUUUGCCGCUAUUAUCACCAACCAGGUGAUCAAAAGUACGCCUAGUACUCUAAAAUUAUUCGGCAGCCUGCCGCUAUUAUCACCAACCAGGUGACCAAAAGUACGCCCAGUACUUCAAAUUAUACAUGAGCAUUACUCAUGUCAAUCAUACAUAAACAUUCAUGAGCAUCACUCAUGUCAACAUUCAUGAGCAUCACUCAUGUCAACAUCCAUUAGCAUCA